rnacentral:rRNA from 1 species
UACGUAGGGGGCAAGCGUUGUCCGGAUUUAUUGGGCGUAAAGAGCGUGUAGGCGGCCAGACAGGUCCGUUGUGAAAACCCGAGGCUCAACCUCGGGCCUGCAGUGGGUACGGGCAGACUAGAGUGCGGUAGGGGAGAUUGGAAUUCCUGGUGUAGCGGUGGAAUGCGCAGAUAUCAGGAGGAACACCAAUGGCGAAGGCAGAUCUCUGGGCCGUAACUGACGCUGAGGAGCGAAAGCAUGGGGAGCGAACAGG